UGGCAUGAAAACAAGUGCCUGCAGUGUUGUGUUGCUUCAUAUAUUUUUCUAUCUCUCGUUUUUAGAAGGGCUGGAAAAAAUGAGAAACCCCGAAAAUGUUUGUGAAAAAAAGGUUCCGUAACAAAUUACCCGAUGACAAAAUAACCGGACAUAAUAACUGAAAUAAAUAUAGCCGAUACAAAAAAUUUUGAUAACUUCAAAAUGGAGUUCAUUUAAUCAUUUUUAUUGAUAUCAAAUUCUUAAGAGACAUUUACUUCUAUUUUUCCGGUUAUUUUUUUUACGCAAUUUGAGGUUUUCGAGAUUGAUAGGGUAAGAGUACUAGUACCCAAUUUCAAACCUGUAGCCAGCCAGACAGCCACUUUAUGUUAAAUUAUUUAUAUGAAUAAAAAUUCAGCUCUGUUGGAGUUUUUUUU